rnacentral:tRNA from 1 species
GUUAAUGUAGCUUAGUACUCAAAGCAAGGCACUGAAAAUGUCUAGACGGGUAUUUACUACCCCAUAAACA